ACAUGGCAUGCGCAUAGAUACUACACUCGGUGAGCUAUGGCAGUAUAAUGUUUACUGUCAUAUUUUAUUCGCGGUAACAGGAUGUAAUUUAACAAAUUCAUGGUGUAGGACUUAUAAAUAAACAUUAUAUUAAUACAAUAUGACACAGAUGGAUAUCCAGAUAUAAGGAAAGACACCAGGAAGAUAUACACCUAGAAAAUAACCAGAAAGUAAGCAGAGAUUCUUGUUUUCUAAUAAGCCUGUACUAUUCACGUAUAACCAGAAAUGGCGGCCAGUUAUAACAUGAACCAUCAGAGACGAGGAAAAGCAGUCGUUAUAAAUAAUGUAAAUUUUGCUCCAAGGGCGAGAUUACGUCGACGCGACGGUUCCAGACAAGAUUAUGAUUCGAUGAGCAAAUGUAUGAGAGGUCUACGAUUUGAAGUCGAAGCACACGAAGAUAAAGGAAAAGACGAAAUUCUGAAAAUAUUUGAAAAGGUUGCUAAAGAAGAUCACAGCAAUGCUGACUGUUUAUUGGUAUCUUUGAUGUCUCAUGGUGGUGAAGAGGGGAUAUGUGGUAAUGACUACAACAGAUACCAAGGAACUGGUUUACUCACUUUAAAUGAUAUCACAGAACCAUUUAAGGGAGACAGAUGUCCUACCUUAGUUGGGAAACCCAAAAUAUUCAUU